GACGAACGCUGGCGGCGUGCUUAACACAUGCAAGUCGAACGGAAAGGCCCUGCUUUUGUGGGGUGCUCGAGUGGCGAACGUGUGAGUAACACGUGAGUAACCUGCCCUUGACUUUGGGAUAACUUCAGGAAACUGGGGCUAAUACCGGAUAGGAGCUCCUGCUGCAUGGUGGGGGUUGGAAAGUUUCGGCGGUUGGGGAUGGACUCGCGGCUUAUCAGCUUGUUGGUGGGGUAGUGGCUUACCAAGGCUUUGACGGGUAGCCGGCCUGAGAGGGUGACCGGCCACAUUGGGACUGAGAUACGGCCCAGACUCCUACGGGAGGCAGCAGUGGGGAAUAUUGCACAAUGGGCGGAAGCCUGAUGCAGCAACGCCGCGUGCGGGAUGACGGCCUUCGGGUUGGAAACCGCUUUCGCCUGUGACGAAGCGUGAGUGACGGUAAUGGGUAAAGAAGCACCGGCUAACUACGUG
rnacentral:rRNA from 1 species